rnacentral:rRNA from 1 species
CCUACUGGAGGCAGCAGUGAGGAAUCUUGCACAAUGGGCGCGAGCCUGAACCAGCAAAGCAGCGUGAAGGAAGAAUGUCUUCCGGGCUUUAAACUUUUUUUAUAAAGGAAUAAAGUGAUGCGAGUGUCCGUUCACGUAUCUACUUUAUGAAUCAGGAUAGUCUAAGCCCGCGCCAGCAGCUGCGGUACUACGGAAGAUACGUGCGUUACCCGGAUUUAUUGGGUUGAAAGUGAGCGAAGAUGGGGUGUUAAGUCAGUUGUGAAAGUUUGGGGCUCAACCGUAAAAGUGCAAUUGAUACUGGCAGCCUUGAGGACAGUUGAGGAAGGCGGAAUUCGUGGUGUAGCGGUGAAAUGCUUAGAUAUCACGAAGAACUCCGAUUGCGAAAGCAGCUUAC